CAGACAUCGCCCUAGAAACCGGACUGAAUGGGCAUUGCUGUGAGAUUGCAUCUUGCCCAGUAUCACAUAGAUCACCAGAGAACAAGGAGCGGAGCAGGCUGUGCACAUGCAUCGGAUGACCCUGCACAGAGGCAGAGGAACGCCGGAUAAAACGUCAGACGGAGGGCAUCCCGAGGAAGCUGAUAAUAGGUGGACCCAGGCGAGUUUAAUCUUGGGGGGGAGGGGGAUGAAAAAAAACAACCACACAAAUGAAAAAGUGGGAGAAUGGGAUGCUCUUCAUCUUCUUACAUCGGAGAACAAUGAGUUAAGUAAACAAACAUGUUCUAGGGAUCAUUUCUAACUUUUAUCCAAGAUUGGGUCUCAAAGAGCACCUGAAAGCGCAUGGAUGAUAUCCUCGUGGAGCCAGCCUUCAAGCUAAUUCCAUCUUGUUCAGCAGCUCCCAUCCUCUGGAGUAGGGGUCCCCAGCGCCCCGCCCCGCCCCACCGCUGCCCCUGCCCCGCGAAGCCAGCCUGAGCUCCGCCUCCCAUCUUCUCCCCGCCCCUUGCACUGAGGGCCAGAGCCUGAAGCUCAACUGAGCUCGGAGCUCUGCCUCCUGCUUGUGCCACCUGCACUGCAGCCCCUACCCCCACCGCCGCCAGCCUCUUCCAUCUUCCGCAAAACCGGCCCUUGGUGCAAAAAAAAGUCGGGGACCACUGCUCUGAAGGACGGAACCAGCUGGGAUGUAUUUUCUCUUGUGGGGAGAGUACAUGUGGCUGCCAAAGCCACAGAUGUUCUAGUUGGCAGUAAGUGUUUUGCGGACCAAGAUGUGUUUGAAUGGAACAAAAAAAAAAGGCAAUUUCCAAUUACUCACAAGCCUGAGCAAAUAAAUUUCACACUAAUUAAAGGAA